rnacentral:lncRNA from 14 species
AUGUGCGCACACACACAAAUAACCCACGAGUUCAUUCUGCUUCGAUUCUAUGUACAUAAGUCCCCGCCGGCCACUUGGAACUGGACAAGAGCCUCCUCUUUUUCAAAAGGAGCCACAGCCUCUACUCCAGUGAGCUAUGUGGGAGGGAGCCUGCAGGUGCCUGGAGACAACCAGCUUGCACCUGGCUGCAGCUCACAGUCUCCACUCUUGACGAAGCGAGACAGAUGCCCACUGACGCAGACACGUGACAGAUCUGAGUCACCAUCUGUGGGUUGUGGCUCCUCACCAGCCCGGCUUGCAGCCUUUAAGUUUGCCACAGUCUGGCCUCGGGCCGAGUCUCCAUCAUCACCUCGGCCGUUUUCCCUGCUGUCUCCUCUCCUUAAGCAGAAACAUGAUGCGAAUGGGUUCCAGAUCUGUACCUGCUGUCACCCCUGCACACACUCCCAGAGCUGAUAUCACAGGUUAGAUCCCGGUGGUACCAGGCCAGAGGCCCCCACACUUCCACCUGUUGGCCACUACAGGGCUUUGCAAAUAAAGUUUUGUUGUUAUUGUUGUUUUAACUGUCUUUAAAAUUACUUAUGUACAGGAGCAUUUUGUUCAUGUGUUUGUAU